ACUUAAACCUCGCCUGGUCCAGGACUCCAGCUCAGUACAUCGCUACCUCUUCUGGACACUGCUGGAAUUGCUACUCUCAUCUCUGCUCCAUUUAUUUGUGGUCUCUUCCGUUUUAUGCUUCUCCUAUUGUUGUUUACUUCUGUUUAUUAAAGUCUGCCGUUUACCUCCAUUACACACAUCUCGCUCCUGUGUUCAGAAUGCUGCACAAAGACCACUUUGGAAGUGGUUGGAGGUGACAAACAUCUGAAGCUCACAAGCAACACCCGUGGACUGAUAAAUGUCUUUUGUAUCUACACUGCAAACACGUUCCACGCAAUCCACACCCAUGCAAUCUCCAAAUCCUUACGGCGCUCUUGUGUUAGGCCUCGUUCUGUGCCUGAUAGUGUCUGUUUUUCUAGUUCUCUCAUAUGUAUUAAUAAUCAUCAUCCUCAAGUAUAUAUGCGAAAGG